UACGAAGGGGGCUAGCGUUGCUCGGAAUUACUGGGCGUAAAGCGCACGUAGGCGGCUUUCUAAGUCGGGGGUGAAAUCCUGGAGCUCAACUCCAGAACUGCCUUCGAUACUGGAGAGCUCGAGUCCGGGAGAGGUGAGUGGAACUGCGAGUGUAGAGGUGAAAUUCGUAGAUAUUCGCAAGAACACCAGUGGCGAAGGCGCUCACUGGCCCGGUACUGACGCUGAGGUGCGAAAGCGUGGGGAGCAAACAGGG
rnacentral:rRNA from 1 species